rnacentral:lncRNA from 1 species
AAACAAGAAUUUUUUUUUGCUUAGCUGCAAUAUUGUUGGAAUAACUGAGAUUUGAGGGAGCAGCUUGCACUCCUGGAGUAGCUGUACUGACUCUUCAGGAGAAGACAAGAAGAGGGUAUAAGGAGCUCCUCAGUGAAGCAGAUGAUGGGCUGGAGGAGAGCUUGUGGGUCAGGGAAAAGGCCUGUGAAAGGUACAUCACAGUGGGUGUGUGUUAGAGGUAUCCCAUCACCGUAAGAAAGUGGAAGAAGCCUUUUUUGGAGCACAGGAGGAAGCUUCUGAAUCAUUAACCUUGGUUCUUAUGAAGGAAUUUAACCUUCCUUGACAUCAGUUGGAAGAUCAGCAUGAUGAGAAGUGAGCAGUCCAUGAGGUUUCUAGAGACUGCCACAAAUAAAUUCAUGAAACAGAUAUUGGGUUGGCCAACCAGGAGUGAUCUGUUUGAGAGCUGCAUCUGAUCUUCACUGACAUGGAAGAACAGGAUGGGGAUGUGGAAAUGAGCAGCAGCCUUGGCUGUAGUGACCAUGAAAUAGGAAAGUGUGAGAUUUUGAACACAGUGAGGAAGGAGAGCAGCAGAGGGCAGACCCUGGUAGGUGGGAUCUCAGGGAAGGCAGCUCUGAAGGACAAAGUUGCUCAGGAAAGCUGGCAGGCCUUUCAGGACCACAUGCCCCAAGCACAAGAAGAUAAAUAAGACACUCAAGGGAGUGCUUUCAUUCAGCACAUAGCUCAUGGAGGAGCACCAAUGGAGCAUUCAAGAAGACAUCAUACAGUGUGGAAGUGGAUGUGCUACAAAGGAGGCAUUUAGAGGUAUUGCCCACGCGUGUAAGGAUGGUGUUAGAGAAGUGAAAUAUUCUAGACCUACCACUUCCAAGUGACAUCAAGGAUAAUAGUACAGGCUUCUGUGGCUCCAUUAGUAAUAAAACAUUGAACAAGGAAAAUGUGGGUCAUUGAUGAAUGGAAGGGGUGGAUUAGUGACAGUGGACACAAAGUUGAUCUAAGUGCUUUUUUUUGCCUCUUGCAGAAUGUCACCCUUGUGCUACUAUCUGUAUGCUAUAAAAACAAAUUGU